UGUCCACAUCACGAAAGGCAAAGAGAGAGUAACUGAUAUCUUUCUUCUCCCAUAUAUUACUCACUGGGGGAUCCCAAUUUCACCAAAUCAAAUUGCCCCAGAUCCAAAAAUAGCUGCUCAUUUCCCUUGAACAAUGGGAUUCCCAUCAAACGGCACCACCAACAAGCCUCUCAAGUUCCUCAUCUACGGCCGCACCGGCUGGAUCGGUGGUCUCUUAGGGAAGCUUUGCGAGUCUCAGGGCAUCGACUACACUUACGGCUCCGGUCGCCUAGAAAACCGAGUCUCCCUUGAAGCUGACAUUGCCAACGUCAAGCCUACUCAUGUAUUCAACGCUGCUGGUGUCACCGGUCGGCCUAACGUCGACUGGUGCGAGUCCCACAAGGUCGAGACUAUUCGGACCAAUGUGGUCGGGACUCUCACGUUGGCUGACGUGUGUAGAGAAAAGGGUCUGAUUUUGAUUAAUUAUGCUACGGGUUGCAUUUUCGAGUACGAUGCGAAUCACCCUCUUGGGUCGGGCAUCGGGUUCAAGGAGGAGGA
rnacentral:misc_RNA from 1 species